GAUGAACGCUGGCGGCGUGCCUAAUACAUGCAAGUCGAGCGAACAGACGAGGAGCUUGCUCCUCUGACGUUAGCGGCGGACGGGUGAGUAACACGUGGAUAACCUACCUAUAAGACUGGGAUAACUUCGGGAAACCGGAGCUAAUACCGGAUAAUAUGUUGAACCGCAUGGUUCAAUAGUGAAAGACGGUUUUGCUGUCACUUAUAGAUGGAUCCGCGCCGCAUUAGCUAGUUGGUAAGGUAACGGCUUACCAAGGCAACGAUGCGUAGCCGACCUGAGAGGGUGAUCGGCCACACUGGAACUGAGACACGGUCCAGACUCCUACGGGAGGCAGCAGUAGGGAAUCUUCCGCAAUGGGCGAAAUCCUGACGGAGCAACGCCGCGUGAGUGAAGAAGGUCUUCGGAUCGUAAAACUCUGUUAUUAGGGAAGAACAAAUGUGUAAGUAACUAUGCACGUCUUGACGGUACCUAAUCAGAAAGCCACGGCUAACUACGUG
rnacentral:rRNA from 1 species